rnacentral:tRNA from 1 species
AGCCUUGUGGUGUUUCCACGUCAGAUUGCAAAUCUGAAGACGCAGGCUAGUUACCUGCCGGGGCUU